UCCCUCCAGUUAUCACCUCCACCUCCCCCCAGCAGGAGUCCGUCUUGUUCUUCCAUCGCCUCCUUUCCACCCUUCUCUGCUCUCCCAAGACCCAUGUUGCCCCUGCUAGAUGCCCCAGAGAUCAGCUCCAGCAAAACGGGCUCCGGGAGCUGCUGGAAACCUAACUUGAGAGUUGCUCCGUUCCGGGGUCCAGGCAGAGCUCCGUGCAAGGCGAGGGGAGAAAGGUGAAAACUGGAGAUAUUGCUUGAAUAAAAU